rnacentral:tRNA from 3 species
GGGGCCGUAGCUCAACUGGUAGAGCGGUAGCUUUGCAAGCUACAGGUCGUCGGUUCGAUCCCGAUCGGCUCCACCA